rnacentral:rRNA from 1 species
CGUAGGUGGUUCGUUAAGUUGGAUGUGAAAUCCCCGGGCUCAACCUGGGAACUGCAUUCAAAACUGUCGAGCUAGAGUAUGGUAGAGGGUGGUGGAAUUUCCUGUGUAGCGGUGAAAUGCGUAGAUAUAGGAAGGAACACCAGUGGCGAAGGCGACCACCCGGACUGAUACUGACACUGAGGUGCGAAAGCGUGGGGAGCAAACA